AUGAAAGCCUGUGAACAAAAGGAUGUGGAUUUUGAAAAACGAGUGCUGACAAUGUCCGAGGAGCUUCAGAGUGUGCACAAAGAAAAAGAGGCUCUGAUGUCUGCAGAAGAGCUGUACGUGCUGCGCUCGAGUGUGGCUUCUGUCACUGAAGAAAGAGAUCAACUCAAAAUGGACAUGCAGGAAAACAUGGACAUAAUGAUAGAGGUUCAGGAGGAGCUGAGAAUGGCUCUGGAGAAGAACCAGAAACAGAAGGAACUCAUUAAACAGCUACAGACCACUUCCAAAGGGCAGGAACCUCCCGUUAAUGCGUGUCCACAGCUUGAGGAUCUCCAAGCACAGCUGAAGAUUCAGGUGGAGGAGCUGAAGAGUGUGCAAGCAGAGAGAGACUCUCUGCUGUCUGAGAGGACAGCUGACCCUCAGAGCUCCACAGACGAGAAGGAGGAGCUACUGAACAGAGUGAAGACUCUCAGUGAGGAUCGAGACAAGCAGCAGGAGAUCCUGGAAGGACUGAGGCAGGAGAAACAGCAGCUCCAACUACAGCUUGAGGACACGACUCAAGAGCUGCACACUCAGAUGAGAGGUCUGACAGAGAAGCAGCAGAUGUUGGAAGCAGAGAGAAACUCUUCCACAGAGGAGAAGGAGGGGCUGUUGGACAGAGUGAAGACUCUCAGUGAGGCCAGAGAUGAGCUGCAGGCGAUCCUGGAAGGACUGAGGCAGGAGAAGAAGCAGCUCCAAUUAAAGCUGGAGGACACAACUGAGGAGCUGCACACUCAGAUGAAAGGUCUGACAGAGAAGCUUCAGAUGUUGGAAGCAGAGAGAGACCUUCUGCUAUCUGAGAGGGCAGCUGACACUCAGAGCUCCACAGAGGAGAAGGAAAAGCUGCUGAACAGAGUGAAGACUCUCAGUGAGGACAGAGACGAGCUGCAGGAGAUCCUGGAAGGACUGAGGCAGGAGAAGCAGCAGCUCCAACUUCAGCUGGAGGACACGACUGAAGAGCUGCACAGCCAGGUUUGAAAUCAAUCUCUCAUAUAAAAACUUAUAUCUAUUUUACACACAAUUGAAUGUAAAAUUAUAUUAGCUUUUAUCUGCUCUCUAUCUAACCAGCAGUUAACACCUUUUACUAUUUUUCAUACAGAUGAGAUGUUUCACAGAGAAGUUAGAGAUGUUGGAAGCAGAGAGAGACACUCAGAACUCCACAGAGGAGAAGGAGGAGCUGCUGAACAGAGUGAAGACUCUCAGUGAGGACAGAGACGAGCUGCAGGAGAUCCUGGAAGGACUGAGGCAGGAGAAGCAGCAGCUCCAACUACAGCUGGAGGACACGAUGGAGAAGAUGCAGUGUGAGUUUCAACAGCACCUCAGCAAUGAGACUCACCCUCAGCAGCUUCUGCAGGUACUCCACUGCCAGCCUUAUUUUCUACACUACCCCAUUAAAACCUGAAACCAUGUCUGUGCCUAGAUUCAAAAGCUGGAGGAACAUCUGGAGAUGACCAAAGAGGAAAUGAACCAGCUGAAGUGUGAGCUUCAAAAACAAGUGGAACAGGCUACAGAGCUGAAUGUGUCUUAUCAGACUACCAGGGAGGAGAAGAAGCAGCUGGAAAAUGAUCUUUUGCAGAAAAUAAGCACGGUAUCUUUAACACAAGAGCUUCUGAAGGCUGUUCAAGAAGAGCUGCUGGUUCUGAAGAACACCAAGGAAAAUAUGGAGGAACAGAGCAAAGAGAGGGAGAACUCUUACCAUAAACAGAUCAGAGGCCUGGCAGAAGACAUGGAGAGUGUGAAAUCAGAGAGGGAUCUUCUGCUCUGUGAGAUGGAGAAGAAAUACCAGGGCUCAGUGAAUGAAAAGGAGCUGCUAGACAGCGUGAAGAUUCUCAGUGAAGACCGAGAUGAGCUACAGGAGAUCCUGAAAGGACUGAAGCAGGAAAAGCAGCAGCUCCAACUGCAACUGGAGAACACGACUGAAGAGCUGCACACUCAGAUGAGCGGUCUGACAAAGAAGCUGCAGAUGUUGGAAGCAGAGAGAGACCUUCUGCUGUCUGAGAAGACAACUGACACUCAGAGCUCCACAGAGGAGAAGGAAAAGCUGCUAAACAGAGUGAGGACUCUCAGUGAGGACAGAGAUGAGCUGCUGGAGAUCCUGGAAGGACUGAGGCAGGAGAAGCAGCAGCUCAAACUACAGCUGGAAGACACGACUGAAGAGCUGCACAGCCAGAUGAGAGGUAUGACAGAGAAGCUGCAGAUGUUGGAAGCAGAGAGAGACUCUCUGCUGUCUAAGAGGACAGCUGACACUCAGAGCUCCACAGAGGAGAAGGAGAAGCUCCUAAACAGAGUAAAAACUCUCAGUGAAGACAGAGAUGAGCUGCAGAAGAUCCUGGAGGUACUGAGGCAGGAGAAGAAGCAGCUUCAACUACAGCUGGAGGACCCUAUGGAGAAGAGCUCAGGCAUUCAGGAGAGGUUGAGGCAGCAGGAGGUGGGACAAAAGGAAUGUGAGGCCCUGAAGCAACAGGUAGGCUCAUGUUAA
rnacentral:lncRNA from 1 species